AUUGAACGCUGGCGGCAUGCUUUACACAUGCAAGUCGAACGGUAACAGGCCGCAAGGUGCUGACGAGUGGCGAACGGGUGAGUAAUGCAUCGGAACGUGCCCAGUCGUGGGGGAUAACGCAGCGAAAGCUGUGCUAAUACCGCAUACGAUCUGUGGAUGAAAGCGGGGGACCGAAAGGCCUCGCGCGAUUGGAGCGGCCGAUGUCAGAUUAGGUAGUUGGGGGGGGAAAGGCGCACCAAGCCAACGAUCUGUAGCUGGUCUGAGAGGACGACCAGCCACACUGGGACUGAGACACGGGCCAGACUCCUACGGGAGGCAGCAGUGGGGAAUUUUGGACAAUGGGCGCAAGCCUGAUCCAGCAAUGCCGCGUGCAGGAAGAAGGCCUUCGGGUUGUAAACUGCUUUUGUACGGAGCGAAAAGGCUCUCUCUAAUACAGGGGGCUCAUGACGGUACCGUAAGAAUAAGCACCGGCUAACCACGUGCCAGCAGCCGCCGUAAUAC
rnacentral:rRNA from 1 species